rnacentral:rRNA from 1 species
GUAAUUGAUAGCCCACGAUUUAUUUUACUUGUUUUGAUUAGUUUAUAUAUCGUCGUGGUUGAAUAUUUUAAAAGAAUAUGUAAUGUUCAAGAUUUUAUAUUAAAAUAGAAUUCAGAUCAAGGUGUAGCUUAUAAACAAGUAGAGAUGGGUUACAAUAAAUUUAUUUUUGGAAUAUUAUAAUGAAAUUGUUUAUGAAAUUGGAUUUGGAAGUAAUUAGAUUUAAAUUUUUCUAGUGAUUUUAGCUCUAAAAUGUGCACAUAUUGCCCGUCGCUUUUGUUUUAAGAUGAAAUAAGUCGUAACAUAGUAGACUUACUGGAAAGUGUGUCUAGAAG